rnacentral:rRNA from 1 species
UACGUAGGCAGCGAGCGUUGUUCGGAGUUACUGGGCGUAAAGAGUGCGUAGGCGGUUUUCUAAGUUUGGUGUGAAAUCUCCCGGCUCAACUGGGAGGGUGCGCCGAAGACUGGAAGGCUUGAGUAUGGGAGAGGUAAGCGGAAUUCCUGGUGUAGCGGUGAAAUGCGUAGAUAUCAGGAGGAACACCGAUGGCGAAGGCAGGUCUCUGGGCUGACACUGACGCUCAUGCACGAAAGCGUGGGGAGCAAACAGG